UACGUAGGGUGCGAGCGUUGUCCGGAAUUACUGGGCGUAAAGUGUGCGCAGGCGGCGUCGCAAGUCGAGUGUGAAAGCCCCGGGCUUAACUUGGGAAUUGCGCUCGAAACUACGAUGCUGGAGUGUGGCAGAGGAAGGUGGAAUUCCACGUGUAGCGGUGAAAUGCGUAGAGAUGUGGAGGAACACCAAUGGCGAAGGCAGCCUUCUGGGCCAACACUGACGCUCAUGCACGAAAGCGUGGGGAGCAAACAGG
rnacentral:rRNA from 1 species